AAAGGUGUGGAAGAAUGUCCGUGCCCUGUCCCUGAUGAAGGACUAUGAUACUGCACUAGCUAAGCCUGCUGAAGAUUCUCCACGCCCACUUCAGGCCGUUCUUGACCUGGUCCAGAAGACUGCUAAAACAUUUAAGCCAUGUGAAGGUGCACAACAGAUGUCAACACCCAUGAAAAUGGUGAAAGCCGACUAAACAGCUGAAAUACCACAAAGAAUGAGAAAGAACAAUGUGGAAGACAACAAGAGGCAAGAUGAUUUCUUGCUGGUAUGCCGAGUAAUUUUCUACCUAUUCCCUGCAUGCAACCAUUAUACUUCAUCAAGGAGAAGGUUUUUAGUAUUAAUGCUUCGAUCUCCUAAUGUCAAAAUCAUUAC